GACGAACGCUGGCGGCGUGCCUAAUACAUGCAAGUCGAACGCAGUUGCGAACGGGUGAGUAACGCGUAGGUAACUGCCUCAUAGCGGGGGAUAACUAUUGGCAACGAUAGCUAAUACCUCAUACUUUGCGUUGGACCUGCUUUGUAUUAGCUAGGUGGUGAGGUAAAGGCUCACCAAGGCGCCGAUACAUAGCCGAACCGAGAGGGUGAGCGGCCACACUGGGACGGAGACAGGGCACAGACGCCUACGGGAGGCAGCAGUAGGGAAUCGUCGGCAAUGGACGGAAGUCUGACCGAGCAACGCCGAGUGAGUGAAGAAGGUUUUCGGGUCGUAAAGCUCUGUUGUUAGAGAAGCGGUAACUAAACAGAAAGGAACGGCUAACUACGUGCCAGCAGCCGCGGUAAUUC
rnacentral:rRNA from 1 species